GCACAGCUCCAAGAGUUCAUUUUGAUCAACAGAUGAGCAUCAGUACGGUAUUUGUGGAAAAACCGAUUAAAAGUAUAAUUUAUAUUAUGCCUUGAAAAUCGAAAACCAUCGCCAUUGUUGGCGCGAUGAAAACCAUUUGAUGCAUAUAUCGAACAUCGCCUUUCAUGACUCCCGGUACGUUGGUGCAUGCUGUGUGCCACAUAACACGUGGUACAUCAACUGAAUGCUGUGACCAUGAAGUCUGUCCAGUCCAGCCGAAACCCACAAAUGGAGUCCUGCAGAGGUUGUAACUAGAUGGGAGAGGAUCAUGGUCUGCUGAGUACUCUUCAGCAAUGGGCUUGAGAUGAGGUGCCUCCAAAUGAUGUACCCAAAACUUCCAUUUUGGAAUUGACUUCAAUGAUGCCACUCAAUUUGUUGUGAAAUUACAAUGCAAAUAAUUAGCAUUUCCUUGUUCUAAAGACAAUAAAUGUUUAUUUGAAUGA